UGGACUAGCUUAUCUACUCUCUGCCUAAGACAUAGUUACAGACAAAAUCUCUUUGCUCAGACAGCAGUGUCAAAACUGACUCUAUAACUAUUCCUAUGGCAAGGCAGGACAGCACGAAACAAAUGGACAUCUAAAUAGGAGGGGGUUCCAGGCGCCAUAGAGCAAAGAGGAAAGUCUUUCCAGGUACAGCAACCAAGAAUUAUCUUGUGCUUCUCUUGAUGGAUUUGCCAUGGUAACACAAACGUACAGAAAGCAUCUGAAAUCCUGUCUUUGUUAUCUACAACUGAGAUCUCACUGGUCACAAAGAAAAUUCAUCUAUGCCAAGAGGACACUGAGAUUACCCACGACCACCUCUUGAUGCCUGAGCACAGCUACGUAUUUGAAAAGAUUUUUCAGUUGUACUGGAUCUUUGAAAGCUGGCAGGAUGAAUUUCUAGGUUUCCAGUCUUUAACGUUUAUCUCCCCUUGGAUCUCACCAUCUGCUCCUAUUUGGCAGCACAGAAAUCAUUAAGGAGGAAUUGGUGGCAGUUACUGAAGUUGAUGAAUAUGACUGAAAUUUCCAUGGUGGUUUCUGUGUUGUGGGGGUUGCUUGAGGAAGUAGUGUUUUUUUUUUCCUUUUGUCAGGUUUAUGUCUGUUGACACAUGUUCAUGGAGCAUAGUGCAAUGAAAUCCACAAUGUUAAGAUUAUUUUUUAUGUUGGUCAUUUGUUGUUGUUUGUUUGUACCUUUCAUUCAAGUGUAUUCUACCUACCUUAUUAUUUUUACCUUUAUUUCUCAAUGCCAUAUCUUUGAGCUCAUCAGCAAAUCAAAUAACCAUUUUUUAGAAUGUAGGCUUUGUUCUGUGAGAGUUCAGUCUCAGUGUAGCCCAGCCCCAAGGUAGCUACAGUUACCAGAGACAACCAUUCACUUAAGACAAUGGUCAUGCAAUGUAGUUUUAAACUUUGAAGAUGGUACUGUUUUGUAUUUUUUUUUUUUUUUUUUUUUUUUUUUCCCCAAAUUUUCUGCUCUGUAUUCAGUUUCUGAUUGACUGGAAUAUUUCACUAUCUUUACCUUCUGGAGAGCAAAAUCUUAAGUGAGUCUCAAUGUGACUCAAACAGUGAUCUGUUACACAUUCUGCAUAUGGCUGAAGUGAAAGAGAACAAUUAAACAUGGAAUGGGAAAAGAAGAAAGUUUGUUGUUGU